GCCUGCAACAUAGCGUUAAUGCACCAGAUCACAUUAGAAAUUCGCAAUUAAGCACACUCAGGCUAUAGUACUGGGAUUGGUGACCGCCCGGGAAGUCCUAGUGUUUUACAUGCC
rnacentral:rRNA from 1 species